rnacentral:lncRNA from 1 species
AAGCUGAUGCUUGUAAAGGAAACAGCUUUCAGGUGGAGCCCAUUUCCCCUCCUGCUGAGCGUGGGCCACACUUAGCGACUGGCUUUCAAUGAAGAGAAUGUAACAGAGGUGAAAGUGUGUGACAUUCGAGGAAAGGCCAUAAAAGACAUUGGUGCUUCAGCUUUGCUCUCGCGGCUGUCUGACUCUGGGGGAAGCCAGCCACCACGUCAUGAGGACACCCAAACAGCCUACGGAGAGGCCCACGUAGGGAGGAGCUGAGGCCCCCUGCCAGCAAGCAGCCCUAGCCCGCCAGCUGUGUGAGUGAGCGAGCCUUUUUGGAAGUGCAUCCUCCUGUCCCAGUCCAGCCCUCAGAUGGCUGCAGCCCUGCUAGCAUCUUGACUGCCGCCUCAUGAGGGACCUCAAGCCAGAACCAACAGCCACGUGGUGCCAGAAUUCCUCAUCUGCAGCAGCCGUGUGAGAUCAUAACUGUUUAUUGCCUUUUUAAGCCACUGAGUUUUGGGGUCGUUUGUUACUCAGCAGUAGAUGAUUAAUAUGCUGUCAUGCAGCUGUCUUGGAAC